UGGGGAAUUUUGGACAAUGGGGGCAACCCUGAUCCAGCAAUGUCGCGUGUGUGAAGAAGGCCUUCGGGUUGUAAAGCACUUUUGUCCGGGAAGAAAUCGCACCUGAUAAUACCGGGUGUGGAUGACGGUACCGGAAGAAUAAGGACCGGCUAACUACGUGCCAGCAGCCGCGGUAAUACGUAGGGUCCAAGCGUUAAUCGGAAUUACUGGGCGUAAAGCGUGCGCAGGCGGUUGUGCAAGACCGAUGUGAAAUCCCCGGGCUUAACCUGGGAAUUGCAUUGGUGACUGCACGGCUAGAGUGUGUCAGAGGGGGGUAGAAUUCCACGUGUAGCAGUGAAAUGCGUAGAGAUGUGGAGGAAUACCGAUGGCGAAGGCAGCCCCCUGGGAUAACACUGACGCUCAUGCACGAAAGCGUGGGGAGCAAACAGG
rnacentral:rRNA from 1 species